GAAGCACUUGGAUAUGAUCUGUGUAAGACACAGAUCCAACCAACAUUGAGCAUAAACAGAUCUCACAUCUGAAUUAAAAGACAAACGAACUCGAUCUCUAAUGAGCUUGUGAGACACAAAGGGUCGACAGAUCGCCCUUCUCUGAUAAAGGCAUCGAGUUCAUUCUCCGACGAGCUUAGGUAACUCGAGGAGCAGGUAAAGAAUCUUGUUCCUAGAAAACAACGUCGAAUGGGCCGAUACGCUUUCUUAAAAGCAUUGAUGUCGAUCUAAGAUAAGCUCGAUCUUCGAAAGAGCGAUGAAUAACAAUCUACCCACUUCUUUAUGAAAAAUAACCGUCCACUGCAGAAGUAGCCCGGCCUCAAGUGAUCUCGACCUACUUUGAUCACAUCCUUAGAAGAAGCGAAUACAUUUUAUCUAUAUCAUAUGAAAGAAGCUCCCAACCAUGGAAACAUUUCCUCCCGACAUAGGAAUCAUUUUCUGUAAAAGAAAAUGACAGAUAUGGACAAGCCAUACAGAACUAUUUAGAGAUCUCAUGUUGUUUAAACAAUAUUUCCUUUAAAAAAACAAGACCAAAAAUGUCAGGAAGCGUAAUAUGCUUUGCGACGGCUUAGUGUGAGUUGAACACGAAUAUCGAGUCAAUAAUCCACAACCACCU
rnacentral:lncRNA from 1 species